GAUCAGAUCGGAGACGGCGGGAGUGAGUGGGAAACGAACGACGACCGAUCACAAUUCACAGAACGGACCGACGAACUCAGCCCACGCGUAGAGGCAGAGGCAGCGCCGCCGUGCUCCGAUUGAGCGACGGAGUGAGCUUGACCUUGACCUUGACCCUGAGCUUAGCUCACUCCUCUAGCCACUUGCCACGAGCGCGCGCGCGCGCGCACACACGCAGCUGAGCUGCUCUUCACCGCCCCCGAUUGGCCCGGAAAUGUAUCUGCGGGCAUCCGUUUCUGAUGUUCUUCGAAGAAGAAUUCGUUUUCCUCCUGGAACUGCAACUGGAACCAUCACUGCCACUGCCACUGCCACCUCGUCCUCGGUCACGGCAGCAGCAUCCACCAACUUGGCGCCUCUCCCUCCUCCCCUUCCCCCCAAUGUGAGGAACUCAUGUAGCGGUCGAGGUUUCACUUGGAGAAAGAGUAGUGGCGAUGUCUCUCUCUGGUUCAUGUUGUACGCACAGGCUGUGGCAGCAAUGUUACUAGGGACGUGUUCAGACCCGGUCUUUGCGGAAGGAAAUUCCGUAGAGUCGAGUUCUUUGACUGAUCCAGAAGAUGCUGAGGUUGCCGGACUACGCAGGGUUGAUGAUGAUGCGGUCAUAUCAAAUGAACACACAAUGAAGUGGAGGAUAUUCACGGAUAAUGGGAGAGAUUCAUUUCAAAAGGGAAAGCUUUCAGAUGCUGAAAAAUUCUUCCUCUCUGCAUUACGAGAAGCUAAAGAAGGUUUUGGAGAAAGAGAUGCGCAUGUUGCAUCAGCAUGCAACAAUCUCGCUGAGCUGUACAGAGUUAUGAAAGCAUUUGACAAAGCAGAACCACUUCAAUUGGAGGCUAUUAACAUAUUAGAGGAUUCAUUUGGUCCCGAGGAUAUACGAGUUGGAGUUGCCUUCCACAAUCUCGGUCAGCUUUAUCUUGUGCAAAGGAAAUUGGAAGAUGCUUGUUCCUGCUAUCAGCGAGCUUUAAAGAUAAAAGGGCGUGUUUUGGGACAUAGUCAUCCAGACUAUGCGGAUACCAUGUACCAUCUUGGCAAGGUACUACAUCUACAAGGCAAAGAAAAGGAGUCUGAAGCACUUAUUGUUGAUUCUAUCAGGAUAUUAGAGGAAGGUGGUCAUGGACAAUCUAAUUUAUAUAUGAGGAGAUUGCGCCAUCUUGCUCAGUUGUAUCUGAAGUCCAGCCGUCCAGUAGAUGCUGAGAAUGUCCAGAGAAAGAUUCUUCAUGCAUUGGAAUUAGUAAAGGGAUGGGACUCAUUGGACACGGUAAUGGCUGCUGAAGGGCUCGCACUGACUUUACAGUCAGCUGGGAAGUUAAGAGAAGCACACGAACUUCUUGAGAGAUGCCUCGAUGCACGGAAAAAAUUGCUGCCAGAAUACCAUAUACAGACUGGGGCAAACAUGCUUCAUCUUGCUAGAGUGGCAAUGUUAUACUCCAACCAGCUAAGGAGCAGAAGUGCAUCAGAUGCUACCAUUCAGCUUGAAAAGGCAAAAGAUUUCUUGGAGAAUUGUAUAAGGAUCUCGCAGCAAGUCCUGAUAAAAUUGAUGAAACAGAAAACCUUAUUCAGAAAGGAAGAUUCUGCAGAGAGUAGAAGGAAUGCGCGCAUAGCAAUGAUCAUUCUGAUGCAAGCGCUUGAUGCAUUAGGGCUGUUGGAGAUUAAUAGAAUGGAAUUGCAAGAUUCAAGGGUCAGUGUUUAUGCCCUCCUCCUGGAGAAAUAUGUCUUAAUGAUUCUUGUCUGUGAAUGCUGUUUAUGGAGUUGUUCAUUUACGAUGUGGAUCUGUCUGUCGAUUUUAGUGAUUUGUGCUGAUAUUCAUCGUGUAUCUGUACUCAGCAUGGGGUUGCUCUGAUUAUUAUAAUUAUUUUCCCUUUUCUGGGAUCAGUUUACAGCAUAGGAAGGACUGAAAUCAUGCAGAUAAGGAAGUUCUGCAUCGCACUUUUGUUCUUUUCUUGAGAUGCAAUGUUAGGAGCAUAUGGAUACACAGCAUGUAUCUGUACUCAGCAUGGGAUAAAGGAAGUUCUGCAUCGCACUCUCCCCCUCCCCUCCCCUUGAGAUGCAAUGUUAGGAGCAUAUGAAUACACAACGACACUGCCCACGGUUGGAAUGUCUGAUUAUUCCGGCUGCUGGUGCUGCUGUUUCGGUUGUUUAAGAUAUCGUAUUACAAUUGGUAAAGAGUGUACUUUUCUGCUGCUACUCGAGAGGACGGUUAUUUUUUGUUUUUUGAUCUAAUCAGGACAGUUCAGGUGCUGCUGGAGCUGAAAAUGCACUUUUGAGAUGCAUUGAUGCUUACAAAGAGUUUGAACGUGAGAGUUCAAUUUCAGAUUCUGUUGAAGUGAGGACCGAGUAUCUGAAAUGUCUGAAGCAUCUGCUGAGCUUGUUAACUGAUGGUGCCCAAGGUAGGAGGCAUUCUCGGAAAGUCACAGUGAAAGAGCUGAAAGAUGAGAUCAAUCAUGUCGAAAGUGAAGUUUCUGCAAGUCGGGGUCACGGAAAAAAAGCGUGAUCAUCUCUGCCUGCUCUUUUGUUGCUAGUAAGAUGCUUAAAUUUAGAUGUUACUUCCUAGUUAGGUUUGGAUUCGACAUGGUGAUUCUGGAAUGAGGAAUAUCUACUGCACUGCAGCACCAUGCUUUCAUAGAGAGCCUUCUCUGCUGCCUUUGCUGAACGUGUCAUGGCAUUAUGGAAUUUUAAUGAUGAGAGACUGAAUAAGAAUCUUAUUGGGAAGUGUAGUUUUGUCCUCCUGUUGA